rnacentral:rRNA from 1 species
CCUACGGGUGGCAGCAGUGAGGAAUAUUGGUCAAUGGGCUUACGCCUGAACCAGCCAAGUCGCGUGAGGGAAGACUGCCCUAUGGGUUGUAAACCUCUUUUGUCAGGGAGCAAUUGGCGCUACGUGUAGCGUUAUCGAGAGUACCUGAAGAAAAAGCAUCGGCUAACUCCGUGCCAGCAGCCGCGGUAAUACGGAGGAUGCGAGCGUUAUCCGGAUUUAUUGGGUUUAAAGGGUGCGCAGGCGGCCUGUUAAGUCAGCGGUAAAAGCCCGGGGCUCAACCCCGGCGAGCCGUUGAAACUGGCGGGCUGGAGUUGGAGAGAAGUACGCGGAAUGCGCGGUGUAGCGGUGAAAUGCUUAGAUAUCGCGCAGAACUCCGAUUGCGAAGGCAGCAUACCGGCGCCCAACUGACGCUGAAGCACGAAAGCGUGGGUAUCGAACAGGAUUAGAUACCCCAGUAGUC